rnacentral:pre_miRNA from 1 species
UCAUUUUUGUGAUUGGUGCAAUUUUGAUCUUUGACAAAUUGCAUAGUCACAAAAGUGAUG